UCCGCUCUCUUUCCCUCCACACGUUCCCCCUGCCCUUAUCCCUCGGCUUUCUUCCACGCCCAAACGGCCCUAUUCCUCACUCCAAUAAGCACAAGCAUCCACCUGCUAUCAUCGUCGCUCGACGAGAGAUGGCCUCCGAGGUCUGGCUAUCCUUGCUCUCCCCUCGCCUUCCGUCCAGAUCUCCUCUCCUCUUGAAGCCCUCUCUCCCUUCCUCCUCUUCUUCCUUCCGAAGAUCUUCUACCGUUGCUGCUUCCCUUGGGCUUCUCUCUCACCGCCGGCGCAGAGUGCUCGUGCUGCGUCCCAGGGCCACCGAUCAGCAAGGUCAGCUUCAGGAUGACGAAAUUGUUGAUAGCAAAAUCUUGCCAUAUUGCAGCAUAGAUAAGAAGGCAGAGAAGAAGACGCUAGGAGAACUUGAACAGGAAUUUCUACAAGCACUACAAUCUUUCUACUAUGAGAAAAAAGCAAUAAUGUCUAAUGAGGAAUUUGAUAAUCUUAAGGAAGAACUAAUGUGGGAAGGAAGCAGCGUUGUCAUGCUAAGUCCAGAUGAACAAAAGCUUUUGGAAGCGUCAAUGGCUUAUGCAGCUGGGAAAUCCAUUAUGACAGAUGCUGAAUUUGAUGAAUUGAAGGCGAGAUUAAGGAAAGAAGGAAGCAGCAUUGUGCAAGAAGGCCCACGAUGCAGUCUUCGUAGCCGAAAGGUCUACAGUGACUUGAGUGUUGACUACCUCAAGAUGUUCUUAUUAAAUGUGCCAGCAGCUGUUAUUGCUCUGACAUUGUUUUUCUUUCUAGAUGAUCUGACAGGCUUUGAAAUUACUUAUCUUUUGGAGUUGCCAGAGCCCUUCAGUUUCAUUUUCACAUGGUUUGCGGCUUUGCCUCUUAUAUUUUGGUUAUCCCAGUUACUCACCAAUGCCAUUGUGAAAGAUUUUUUGAUCUUAAAGGGUCCCUGUCCAAACUGUGGCACAGAAAACAAUUCCUUCUUUGGAACUAUACUGACCAUACCUAGUAGCAGUACUACAAAUACUGUCAAAUGCUCAAAUUGUGGCACUACAUUGAUAUAUGAUUCAACAGCACGCUUAAUUACACUUCCUGAACCAACUGAAGCAUAAGCCCUGUUUAUCUUGUCUCCCAUCAGCCGGAUGUUGCAAGUAUGAAGAUGAUUUUUACCAAAAAACAAUGCUUCCUGCUGAAUUUUGCAGAAUUUUAAGCCUCUUUAUGAUCUUCUGUGGUUGUUGACCACCAGACCUCAACCAAGUAGUGGUUUCAUGAAAAAAGGAGCCUGCAGCUAAGCAAUGCGCACUUACUGAUAGUUCAGACUCCAUGUGCUGCUGCAUUCUGCCUAUGGACUUGUAAAGACAUUGGUUUGAACUGUCAUGUCCAUACAUUAUUCAAGAAAAGCUUCCUUACAAUUGAAGUUUGCAUAUUUGUGUACAUCUACAAUUACCAUUUGCUGUUCUUUGUAGUUGUUUCUGCAUGCAACACAGAACUCAGCCAAAAUGAUCGAAGACUACCUAUAUAAUUCUCCUUGUAUAUAUAAAAGCUUCACUUUUUGCUAUCAAGUCACUAUGAAAGUGCACCCAAUAUAUACUUUACUAUUACCAUCUGAUUACUUCAAUUGAUGACACCACCAUCAUUGUAUUAUACCAGUAAGGUUGGAUGUUAUAAUAAAACAUGUUCAUUUGCUA